rnacentral:rRNA from 1 species
GAUGAACGCUGGCGGCGUGCCUAAUACAUGCAAGUCGAACGAACAGACGAUGAGCUUGCUCCUCUGACGUUAGCGGCGGACGGGUGGGUAACACGUGUAUCCCCUACCUAUCAUUCUGGUAUAAUUACGGAACACCGGUUCUAAUACCAGAUAAUAUCUUGAACCGCAGUGUGCAAUGGUGAUAUGCGGCUUUGCUGUUUCUAAUAGCUGCUUCCGGGCUGCAUUAGCUGGUUGGUAGGGUAACGGCUUACCAAGGCUACGCUGCGUAGCCCAACGGAGAGGCUGAUCGGCGACCUUGGAACUGAGACACGGUCCAGACUACUACGGGAGGCAGCAGUAGGGAAUGUUCGGCAGUGGGCGCAAGCCUGACGCAGCAACGCCGAGUGAGUGAUGAAGGUGUUCGGAUCGUAAAACCCUGUUUUGGGGGAAGAACAGAUGUGGCAUGAAACCUGGCCGUCUUGACGGUACCGAAUAAAAAAGCCACGGCUAACUACGUG